rnacentral:rRNA from 1 species
UACGAAGGGGGUUAGCGUUGCUCGGAAUCACUGGGCGUAAAGCGCACGUAGGCGGGUUGUUAAGUCAGGGGUGAAAUCCUGGAGCUCAACUCCAGAACUGCCUUUGAUACUGGCGACCUUGAGUCCGGGAGAGGUGUGUGGAACUGCGAGUGUAGAGGUGAAAUUCGUAGAUAUUCGCAAGAACACCAGUGGCGAAGGCGGCUCACUGGCCCGGUACUGACGCUGAGGUGCGAAAGCCAGGGGAGCAAACGGG